GACGAACGCUGGCGGCGUGCUUAACACAUGCAAGUCGAACGGAAAGGCCCCUUUGGGGGUACUCGAGUGGCGAACGGGUGCGUAGCACGUGAGUAACCUGCCCUUGACUUCGGGAUAACUUCAGGAAACUGGGGCUAAUACCGGAUAGGAAUCCUUGCUGCAUGGUGGGGGUUGGAAAGCUUCGGCGGUUUUGGAUGGACUCGCGGCUUAUCAGCUUGUUGGUGGGGUAGUGGCUUACCAAGGCUUUGACGGGUAGCCGGCCUGAAAGGGCGACCGGCCACAUUGGGACUGAGAUACGGCCCAGACUCCUACGGGAGGCAGCAGUGGGGAAGAUUGCACAAUGGGCGGAAGCCUGAUGCAGCAACGCCGCGGGCGGGAUGACGGCCUUCGGGUUGUAAACCGCUUUCAGCAGGGGCGAAGCUUGUGGUGACGGUACCUGAAGAAGAAGCACCGGCUAACUACGUG
rnacentral:rRNA from 1 species